rnacentral:rRNA from 1 species
UACGGAGGAUGCAAGCGUUAUCCGGAAUUAUUGGGCGUAAAGCGUCCGCAGGUGGUUAUCCAAGUCUGCUGUUAAAGCGCGAGGCUUAACUUCGUACAGGCAGUGGAAACUGGGUGACUGGAGUAUGGUAGGGGUAGCGGGAAUUCCCAGUGUAGCGGUGAAAUGCGUAGAUAUUGGGAAGAACACCGGUGGCGAAAGCGCUCUGCUGGACCUGCACUGACACUGAGGGACGAAAGCUAGGGGAGCGAAAGGG